CUACGGGUGGCACCAGUGAGAAAUAUUGCACAAUGGGGGGAACCCUGAUGCAGCAACGCCGCGUGGAGGAUGACGCAUUUCGGUGUGUAAACUCCUUUUAUAUGUCAGGAAAAUGACGGUAGCAUAUGAAUAAGCACCGGCUAACUCCGUGCCAGCAGCCGCGGUAAUACGGAGGGUGCAAGCGUUACUCGGAAUCACUGGGCGUAAAGGACGCGUAGGCGGGUUGGAAAGUCAGGUGUGAAAUCCUACAGCUUAACUGUAGAACUGCACUUGAAACUUCUAAUCUAGAGUAUGGGAGGGGGAGAUGGAAUUAGUGGUGUAGGGGUAAAAUCCGUAGAUAUCACUAGGAAUACCUAAAGCGAAGGCGAUCUCCUGGAACAUUACUGACGCUAAGGCGUGAAAGCGUGGGGAGCAAACAGGAUUAGAUACCCGUGUAGUC
rnacentral:rRNA from 1 species